rnacentral:rRNA from 1 species
CGGUAACAGGAGAAAGCUUGCUUUCUUGCUGACGAGUGGCGGACGGGUGAGUAGUGCUUGGGAAUCUGGCUUAUGGAGGGGGAUAACGACGGGAAACUGUCGCUAAUACCGCGUAGUGUCGAGAGACGAAAGUGCGGGACUGAGAGGCCGCAUGCCAUAGGAUGAGCCCAAGUGGGAUUAGGUAGUUGGUGGGGUAAAGGCCUACCAAGCCUGCGAUCUCUAGCUGGUCUGAGAGGAUGACCAGCCACACUGGAACUGAGACACGGUCCAGACUCCUACGGGAGGCAGCAGUGGGGAAUAUUGCGCAAUGGGGGGAACCCUGACGCAGCCAUGCCGCGUGAAUGAAGAAGGCCUUCGGGUUGUAAAGUUCUUUCGGUAUUGAGGAAGGUUGAUGUGUUAAUAGCACAUCAAAUUGACGUUAAAUACAGAAGAAGCACCGGCUAACUCCGUGCCAGCAGCCGCGGUAAUACGGAGGGUGCGAGCGUUAAUCGGAAUAACUGGGCGUAAAGGGCACGCAGGCGGUUAUUUAAGUGAGGUGUGAAAGCCCUGGGCUUAACCUAGGAAUUGCAUUUCAGACUGGGUAACUAGAGUACUUUAGGGAGGGGUAGAAUUCCACGUGUAGCGGUGAAAUGCGUAGAGAUGUGGAGGAAUACCGAAGGCGAAGGCAGCCCCUUGGGAAUGUACUGACGCUCAUGUGCGAAAGCGUGGGGAGCAAACAGGAUUAGAUACCCUGGUAGUCCACGCUGUAAACGCUGUCGAUUUGGGGGUUGGGGUUUAACUCUGG